CAGGGAGACAACAAAAUGUUAAAUAUUAAUUUUGUCACCUUAGGUCGGUCGGUAUCUCAGAUUCUUAAAUCCUUUAAGAAUUUCAAUUCCUAAGUUUUUCUAGGUCACACCCAUUACUUUCCCUGGGCCAUUAGCUCAGGUGGUUAGAGCGCACCCCUGAUAAGGGUGAGGUCCCUGGUUCAAGUCCAGGAUGGCCCAUAUCUCUAUGUUGGGGGUAUAGCUCAGUUGGUAGAGCGCCUGCUUUGCAGGCAGGAUGUCAGCGGUUCGAGUCCGCUUACCUCCACUGAUUACCACCUCUCUCAUGAAUUUGGAGGGAAUUGUUUUGAGAUGUGAUUUUGAUCUGAACGAAUCUAGCUUCCUAAUUAACAUUAAGAUGCUGGACUCAUUGAAUUUUAUUCAUUGUUUUCAGAGAACCUUGACAACUGCAUAGAUUUUUUAAAAGACAAUAAGCAUCUUUAAUGAUGCAGAUUUAUUAUUUGUGCUAAAUGCAUUAAUAACAAUUCUAUUGAGCUGAUGCUUCAAUUUUGAAGUUAUU
rnacentral:tRNA from 1 species